ensembl:snRNA U6 U6 spliceosomal RNA
GCGCUCACUUGGGCAGCACAUACACUUCAACUGGAACAUACAGAGAAGAUUGGCAUGGCCCCUGCACAACGAAGACAUGCAAAGUCAUGAAGCAUUCUGUAUUUUA